GAUGAAGAACGCAGCGAAAUGCGAUAAGUAAUGUGAAUUGCAGAAUUCAGUGAAUCAUCGAGUCUUUGAACGCACAUUGCGCCCCCUGGUAUUCCGGGGGGCAUGCCUGUCCGAGCGUCAUUGCUGCCAUCAAGCACGGCUUGUGUGUUGGGCCCCGCCCCCCGGCUCCCGGGGGGCGGGCCCGAAAGGCAGCGGCGGCACCGCGUCCGGUCCUCGAGCGUAUGGGGCUUCGUCACCCGCUCCGUAGGCCCGGCCGGCGCCCGCCGGCGACCCCCCUCAAUCUUUUCAGGUUGACCUCGGAUCAGGUAGGGAUACCCGCUGAACUUAAGCAUAUCAAUAAGCGGAGGA
rnacentral:misc_RNA from 1 species